rnacentral:rRNA from 1 species
UACGGAGGGAGCUAGCGUUGUUCGGAAUUACUGGGCGUAAAGAGCGUGUAGGCGGUCCGGUAAGUCCGCUGUGAAAGUCGGGGGCUCAACCCUCGAAUGCCGGUGGAUACUGUCGGGCUAGAGUGCGGAAGAAGAGAGUGGAAUUCCUGGUGUAGCGGUGAAAUGCGCAGAUAUCAGGAAGAACACCCGUGGCGAAGGCGGCUCUCUGGGACGGUACUGACGCUGAGACGCGAAAGCGUGGGGAGCGAACAGG